UACGUAGGGCGCAAGCGUUGUCCGGAAUUACUGGGCGUAAAGCGCGCGUAGGCGGCUUUGUAAGUUAGAGGUGAAAGCCCGGGGCUCAACUCCGGAACUGCCUUUAAGACUGCAUCGCUUGAAUCCGGGAGAGGUGAGUGGAAUUCCGAGUGUAGAGGUGAAAUUCGUAGAUAUUCGGAAGAACACCAGUGGCGAAGGCGGCUCACUGGACCGGUAUUGACGCUGAGGUGCGAAAGCGUGGGGAGCAAACAGG
rnacentral:rRNA from 1 species